rnacentral:rRNA from 1 species
GAUGAACGCUGGCGGCGUGCCUAAUACAUGCAAGUCGAGCGAACGGACGAGAAGCUUGCUUCUCUGAUGUUAGCGGCGGACGGGUGAGUAACACGUGGAUAACCUACCUAUAAGACUGGGAUAACUUCGGGAAAUCGGAGCUAAUACCGGAUAAUAUUUUGAACCGCAUGGUUCAAAAGUGAAAGACGGUCUUGCUGUCACUUAUAGAUGGAUCCGCGCUGCAUUAGCUGGUUGGUAAGGUAACGGCUUACCAAGGCAACGAUGCAUAGCCGACCUGAGAGGGUGAUCGGCCACACUGGAACUGAGACACGGUCCAGACUCCUACGGGAGGCAGCAGUAGGGAAUCUUCCGCAAUGGGCGAAAGCCUGACGGAGCAACGCCGCGUGAGUGAUGAAGGUCUUCGGAUCGUAAAACUCUGUUAUUAGGGAAGAACAUAUGUGUAAGUAACUGUGCACAUCUUGACGGUACCUAAUCAGAAAGCCACGGCUAACUACGUG